UUUAACGAGGACCUAUUGGAGGGCAAGUCUGGUGCCAGCAGCCGCGGUAACUCCAGCUCCAAUAGCGUAUAUUAAAGUUGUUGCGGUUAAAAAGCUCGUAGUUGGAUUCCUGUCUUCGGCCGGGCGGUGCCGUUCCUCAUCGUAGGGGCGUUUUUGCACUGCCUUGGGACGGUGGCCUCAAAAACCACCGUCUUUUAACGGCCGGACAAUACCGCCGGAGUGGCGGGACCAACGCGCGUUGUGGGAAAGAGGGUCUCGCACCCUCCGACUUGUUUCGCGUGCCCGCCCGUAAUCGUUCGAGGUGCCCUUAACAAGGUGUCUCGGGCGGCCGGUAACGUUUACUUUGAACAAAUUAGAGUGCUCAAAGCAGGUGCAUACCCUUCGCCUGAAUAUCACAGCAUGGAAUGAUGGAAUAGGACCUCGGUCUUAUUUUGUUGGUUUUCUUUCUUUAGACCCGAGGUAA
rnacentral:rRNA from 1 species